GCAGGGAGGUUCGACUCGAGCGAAGCGAGAGAACGUUGCGCCAGCAACGGCCCGCAGGGCGAGCCACGAAGUGGCGAGUAAUCCUCUAUCACCGACCA
rnacentral:sRNA from 1 species